ensembl:lncRNA
GCCAGUGCAGAUUGCGAGGGGGGGGGGGUGCUGUCAGAAGCCAGAGGUGGAGGCCUGGAAUGGCGACAGGUGGCCAAGGGAAUGGGGAGCUUGGGAGGGACUCUGAGCCAGUGGGUCCCUCCACCUGCCUGGGGGGCUGCAUUUGAGGGACUGAGGCAGGAGUCCUGAUGAGAAGCGGGGGGCCAGAGCAUCUGCAGGAAGACUCGGUUGAGGCCAGCAGGCUGGGGUCAGCGAGCGGCCGUGGAGGGAGAGAUGUACGUCAGAAUGAAGUUUCUGGCUUUGGGUUGAAAACCAUCCUCUUCAGUUAGAAAAAUAGUCGCCCGAAAGGUGUUCCACGUUCUAAGUGCUGACUGCGCCCGCUCCUGACCAGCGGCCCCCUCUGGGCUGAAGGGGACGCGCGUGGUCACUCCCACUUGGAUGGGCAAGUGGGUGCACGCAGCGGACGUGCAGACACACCGUUCCAGACGCAGCCUGGCACGGGCCACUGAGCUGCUCGGGUGACUGGAGUGGCAUCAGAAAGCCCCUGGGAGCGCGGGCUCUCUGCACACGGCAUCGCUAAGACUUGUCGGUCCGUGGACGUGGGACAGCCCAGCUGGAGCAUCCUCAUGGGCAGCUGUUGGAGAGGCGUUUUUGGCGCUGACGGUUGCUGAUGCGGUAAUGUGGUGUUAGACCCUUGACAGGAGGGGAGGCCGGCUUCUGGGGCGCACGCCUGGCCCCACCGCGCCAGGCUGCAGUGUUUAACCCCGGCUGGGUUCCGGCCGGCUCAGAAGACAGUUCUUCCUGUGUGUGCUCUGGUGCCCGUGGAGGUUGCCUGAGGUUCCGUGGCUUACAAAUAUCCAUUUUAGGACAGUUGUUUUAAAAUCACUUGUUUCACUGACUCUUUUUCACUCAUCCGAAACUCUCCUCUGAACCUCGCUCCUCUGAACCAAAAGCAGGUUGUCCUUUUUCUAAUGUUUGGAGUGUCUUUAGGUCGAUAGUGCAUGUGUUUUGUGUAUUUUGGGUAGAGGUAAGGGGCAGUGCAGUUCUCUGUGUACUGCGUUCCCAAGAGAAGGGCUCUCUGCCCCUGGACCUGGAGCCUGUGGCUGUGCGAUGAGGCUCUCGCGGGGCAGGCCGCUGGGGCGCAGACGGGGCGGGCGGGCAGCGCGUCUCUCCAGCAGUUGGUGAAAACUUCCCAGGAAAGCGGGUCCCUGAAGGGGCCGAGGCAGUGGGGGUCCUGCUUAUGAGCACAGAGCUGUGCAAUGGUGUCCUGCCUGGGGUUUCCCAGCCUCCCCCCGUCUCUGGUUCCUCAGGGGGCUCUGGUACAGACCCUGAAGUCUGGGGGUUGAGAAUGGAGCCCCCAGCCAGGGUCUCUCUCCUAGCGUCACCCAUUGGACCCAGCCGAGAACCUUUGGGAGCUGGACAAGACCCUGGGGCCCCAUUUCUGAUCCCCUCAUUUUUAAGGAGAGGAGAUUAAGACCCACAGAGAGAAGAGGGUUUACUGAAUUACUCCCCAACUUUGUCUCGAGACCAGGGCAGCCAUCACCUCGGCACGUUCGCUCCUCUAGUCCUCGUGUCACUCUCUUUGGAGAGAAGGUCUGAGAACUAGGGACAGUUCCCUGAGGUCGGACCCCACCAUGGUGCCCUCUCUUAGAGAGAGGCGUCCUCCUCGCUCAGACCCCAGGGGGGACCCCAGGGCUGCUCUCCCGUCUCUGCUGAGGCUCCUUGCCCAUGGUGGUGGGCCCCCAUUAGUCCAGGGGCGCAGGCGAGAUGGGCUCAGAGCCCAUGAACACGGGGCUAUGCCCGGGCGACCUUCACCUUGCGGAUGUGGGCGAUAGACCCUUAUGUGCAGGGGAGGAGGCCAAGCUCGCCGAGCGCUGCGGCCCAGGCCUGUGCGCGUCCUGGUCACCUAGGUGUCCCGCCACGUGAUUCCUGGUGGUCAGGUCCCCGGGGGGCAUCCCUGCCCUGAACACGGCCCAUGACCUGGCUGAGCUGGCAUGUCACCAUCCCCGGGGGGGGGGG